CCACUCCCGAACUGUAUAAAGAGGUUUUUCGAAGGCUCUCGGGAAGAGGAUGGAGUUAGCCUUAGGCCAGGUAGAAUAGACACCCUUCCCCCACAUACACCUAAUCAAAGUCUGGGCCAAAGGGGGAGGGGGCUGGAAGAACAGGUAUCUGGAGGGUGCUGAAAAGGGGAAUGGAGGAGGGUUUUGCUCUUUCUUGCCUCUUGCAGGACUGCCCUUGGGGAGAAAGGGACGGGAGGAAGAUGGCACAAUCUUAUAGGGUGGAGCCUUUGAGAUGGCAGGGAUCUAUGAGCACCAGCAGAAUAUAUGCUGUGGGUGCUCCGUGCGAUGUGCCACGGUCACCCGGACUAGGGUUAAAGGAGAAGGUAGAUAGAGCUGGAUAGGGCUGAGGCAGAGGAGUAGUGGGAAGUAGGCAAAGAAGGGGCCCGGAUUUCCUCAACUUCACCCCCAUGCUCUAUUUUGGGACAUCCCCUCCCCCAAUAGGCACAUAGGAACUAUUGGAAGUCAGAUUUUGCUUUCUUUAAAUUGAGUGGGGGGUGUUGAAAAUGAGAGGAGUUUUGAAAUCUCAGGGGAAAAAAAUUGUUCCUUUCCCACACUCAGAGUGGGUUUGUUCUGAAAUUUUCCUUUGAUCAUGAUGAACUUGAAUCAAAGUCACUCAAGCACAUGAAACCUGGGAAGCUGGGGAGCGGGACAUUUUGGUUCCCCUCUAAAGAAGCUGCUGGGCCCAAGGGGCUCUGCCUCUGGCCCCAAACAGAAGUGGUUUCUUGGGUAAUCUGCCUCAAAGAAGAUUGGGGAGAGGGGGCUCCCAGAAGCUUUGGAAUUGGGUAGUCCUUUUGGCAGGUCUCUGGCUGUGCCCCAAGAACCCACACCUGCUGGGGGAUCAGAGUGCCGGGGACCAUGGUGGGUGACCCUUGUGGAGACAGGAGCUGGAGAAGUGGGGGCUGGUUGGGAAGGAAGGGAGGAAAGUUGGGUGGGGGAGGACUGGGGCAGGACUGGAGCUGGGGUGGCUGGAGUAGCUGGGCCCUCCUCUCUCUCUCCCCUGUCAUUAUGGCUCCUCUGCAGUGUAUUUAUAGUGCCCUGAGGUUUACUUAAAGGAACACGCCCUCCAAAAUCUGCUAUAAAAAGGAAAAAUGGCCCCUUAUUCCAAAGCUCACGUAGCACUUUUAAAGAGACAGGGGCCUUUUUAUAAUCUACCCUGGCCAGGGAAAAAAAAAAAUUUUAAAUGAGGAGUAGGGAAGCCAACUUAUUCAGUCAGAAAGCUUCUAUCACUUAGUUUUUCUGUCACAAUUUUCUUAGCUUCCUCAUUCUCCUAGCUCUGGAGACAUGCUGAUAAACAGAUACACAAAGUAACACUGACAUAGCUGGGUGAACACAGACAGACCUAGACAUAUAGACCCAGAGUCACACGGAGCUACACAUAAGGAUUCCAUCAGUUCUGCACAACAACAUAGUCAUACAGACUUAACAUUCAUAUCCACAAAGAAGCAUUUAUUAAGCAUUUGUGCUGCCAGAAGUGCUGGGGAUAACAAAGGCCAAAUUAAAGAGACAUCCUGCCUUCAAGAAGCUUCCAUUGGAUCCUGUGUAUACAGAAAGAAAAGAGAAAGUAAUUGAAGGAGAGAGAGCACUGCCCAGGGAGAGAAGUAUUCUAGAGCUGCUGAGACUUAAGGGGCAGUUGGCAAAAGGGCAUUAAUUCUGGAAUUUGAAUGGGGAGAUAACCUGGGUAAUAACAGAUUUGAAGAAGAGCUAGUAGGCUUGUCUGAUUGGGAGGUAGAGUGCACUGAGGCUGAAAGGUAAACUGAGUCACACAGUGACAUGUGACAUGCAUGUCAUUUGUGGCCAUCCUAUAGACAUGGAAACUCAUACAGACACAUUUAAAUAUAAUCACACAUAGAAAAACAUACAGACACUGAGACCCUCAUUUAGUGACAUACACAUAGAUCUCCACAAUGACAUAUAAUGACACACAAAGACAUAUAAUUGUAAAUACUUAAAUGUUGAUACAUAGUUGUAAAUAAAGACAUGGGCACCUACUCGUGGUUCCAUAUGUGGAUUCGCUGACCACUGACCACAAAAAUACUCCUUAAAAUAAUUAGGCUAAGAGCACUGGUGCCUCAGAUACAUCCCCUCACAGUUCCACAACUCCAUGUCUCAUCCCCCCACGCCUCAAGUAAUCACUGAGGAUUCAGAAGAGGUUUCCCCCCCCCCACCCCCCACCCUAAUUGAACUUCCAGGAGGAACUACCCAAAAGAAAACCUCAAGGAAGAAGCUGGGGGUGAGGGAGGGAGUAUAGGGAAAGAGAACUGAAGGAGUACCAGGUGGGCUUUCUUCCAUCACCCCUCCAAACCCAGGGCCUUCCCCCUCGGGGAGUCCCAGUAAUUCCAGCCAGCCUCUGUUUCCCUCCUGUUCUGUGUCAUGGAAAAAUCCCCCCAUCUCCCCAAGACGCUCUCCUCACUCCCAUCCUAGGACAUUUCUAAGAAAGAUGAACAGAGUCUGGUCUAUCCUUUGGAAUUGAGUAUGAGAUCUUGCCUUCACUUCCAUAUCCACUCUAGCCCCCCUUGUGAAAUUCAGAGGGAUGAAAGGCAGAUAGUGGGAGUGGGGCUGGGGCCUGGCAGGGGCUGCUGGUAACCUGAGAGCCUGACCAGGAGCAGGUGGCAAGGAAAUGAGAAGCCGCCAGCUCUGUCUAGACAGCCACGGACCAUUAACAGCUCUUCCCCACCAGACCUCCCCCCUCCUCAGCACACACAUGGGGGCAACCCUGGAACUGGCCCUCCCCUGUCACUCCCCCCACAAUGGGCUCUUUGUCUUCCUCCAGACUCUCUUACACACACUUAGGCUCAGACAUAUACAGGUACACACACACACACAGAGUAUACAGACCUACAGACAGAGGCACAAACAUAAUUCUUCACAGACACACACAAAAUACUUUUGCUCCGUCUCACAGCAAGAUGCCAGACACCAUCUAUUGCCUGAAUCUCUCAGUAUGCCUCUGACCUCUGCCCUUUUCUCCCAGGCCCUUCCCCCACCUUGCUCUUCAACUUGGUGGCUGAGCGGCCAUCAGCUCCGUUCCAUCUGUGGCCUCAAGCACAGCCAUGUUUCUUACUCUCACCUCUGACCCCCGAUCCCAAGCCCUCACCAGCUGCCCCCUGAAGCCUCUGUGCUCCUGUGGCCCCCUUCUAUUCACACCAGGACCUAAAAUUGGUCUUUGACCCCGAGUGGACUCCCUGGCCCUCAGAACGCUGAAAUGAGCUCACAAAGGGCCCUCCCCCUUCCUGCCCCACGCCUGAGAUUGGGGGCCUCUUUUACCAACCUCAGGGGAGACAGAUUUCACAACAGGCUGGAGGGGGGGAUAUUCCCAAGUAAUUUCUGUUCCCCACCCCGGCCAAUGCUCUCCUCCUUCUUCCCCUGUUAUUGCCCCAAUCUGAAGCCAAAGGGGUGUGUGUAUAUACAGAUAUGUAUGUGUGUGUGUAUUGAGUGGGGGUGAGAGGGGAUAUACAUAUUCUGCUUGGGGGCAAGAGAGGACAGACCCCUGGGAAGCUGGGGCAGGUAGGGAGGGAGUGAUGGGGAGGAAGCAGAAUUACUGGGAAAGAGACUCAGUUCUGGGCUUCAAAGCUGAACAGACUGGACAGCCCUACACAGACACAGAGACACAGUCAGAUGCAAGUGGAGAGCCAGACAGCUGUAGGGGACAGAUGGACCUCUAACUUUUUUGCCAUGUGGCACAGAAGCAGAAGCACAGAAAGGUAGGCUUCCCACCCCCACUCCCACCCCCAAUCCCUCCUACGUUGUCAGUGGCAUCCAGCCACCCACUCCAGCCUGCCCACACAGUGGCCCUCUCUGAGAAUCCAAGACCACAGUCUGGCCAUGGGCCUGUCAGAAAGGAGGCAGACAAACAGCUCCAGCCCCUUCCCCCCCAGACUGGAUCAUUAUCCAUGGGCAGGGAAUUCCCUGUCUCUUGCCUUUCCAAGAACCCCUUGAAGGUCCCUGACCAGGGAACCUCAUCCUUCAAACCUUUCAGAGUUGAAAAGAAGGGAAGAGAGAAGCCUGAAAAGGCCUCCGUCUCCCAGCUCCCCAGUUCCCCUGUGUCUUCUGUUCCUCCUUCCUCUUGGGCCCCCGCCCUCUCAGGCUUCCCCAGUCUUCCUCAUUCUCUCAGCCCCAUCCCCCAGAGGGUCAAGGCAGGCCAGAGUUGCCUGGAAGGACCAGGGUAAAGGGAGCCUGCCCCUUGCUCAGGGCCUGCUUUGCUAUCCCAGCCCUUAUCUUUGCUCCUGGGAAGGUUCCCCUCUCUUCUUCCUUUGUAUCUCCAUCCCUUUCCCCACCUUGUUUAUCUCUUUGCUAUAUCAUUAUGGGGCUCCCCCAGCUGUUCCCCUUGGCUCACAGUGUCUGGGGGCUGGCCUCCUCCACCAAGUCCCAGAUAAAGAAUCUCUCCUUCCUUUCUGCCUCCGAGAUCCUGCCUGUGCCAGUACUGGGACCACUCCUCCCUUCCCCCAGCUCUCUCUAGAAAAAGUCUAAUACUCCAGAGGCCAUUUUCCAUGAAUAAAGAGAGAUCCCUGGAUCCUGGAAGACCUUCGUUUUAUAGAUGACCAGUUCUCUAAUCAGAAUUCUUUUCAUUACCUUCCGUUGGGGCCCUAAGGGAAAGGAAGUCAGCCUUGGGAUCCUAAAUUGGUAGGCUCUGUUAAAACCAGACAACAAAGGAGAAAAGGGAAUGGGAAGGAUUAGGGGCCAGAGCCAUGAAAAGAACUGGAGAGUUCUAGGUUCCACCCGGAGUAUGAGACAGAAUGGAGACUCAAGCCAUAAAAAGGGGCCCAAACGGUGCCAGGCUGGACACUUGAGUCCUUUUAGCUUUGAAGAGGGAGUGGGUACCUGUGCCAUCUAGUGUUCUAAACUAGAGCCUGCUCUUGGUAUUAAGUCUGAAAGGCUUGAGGAAUAAUGGUCCGUGACCCUCUAAGGGUCUAAUGGACGGACCCUCUAAGGAAAGAAGGAGGUGGUUUGGGAAAAGAAAUCCGACAGCAGGUCUCAAAUCUGCCUGUUGGGAAGCCAAGGCUCAGUCUUUCCCUGAGUUCACCCUCUGGAGGAAAGCUCUGGGAAAAUGGCUUCCAACUGGGACUGAAUUUGUAGAUGACAGAGCCAGUCUCUUUGGACCAACAUUUGAUUUCCCUUCAGAAAUACAUAACCUAUAUCACUAGGUUGUUAUGAAGUUCAAAUGAGGACACUGUUGAGAUAGAAAGGGAAGACCUGUUAAAAACCAGUGUCUUUUCCCCUGUACUCUUAGUUCUCGUCCCAGACUUGUUCUGAGGUUCUUUAAAAUACGAAGUGACUAAUCCAUCUCCCUCUCAGCGCCUGAGGGUGGAAUGGUCCGUAAGGACCUCGUUAGAGGGCUGCUCCCUUGGGAGUAUUCUUGGAGCUGUUUGGAAAAUGUGGACGUCCCACUGCGCCUCCCCACCCAUGCCCGGGAGGCCCUCUGUGGGCAGCUCAGAGUGGAGCAAUGGAUCUCACACCUUCAUGGCUUCCCCUUCUGUCCACCAGCUCUGCCCUUGCUCCUGCUCACUGUGUGGGGUCCCUGGAACACCCAGACACCACACAUAUCAUAACCCAAGGGCCCCCCCAACUCUGGAUCAUGUUUCCUACCACUUCUGUGAAUUGCUCUAAGCUCUUUGUUCCCCAAUAUGUAAAAAGAAAGAAUUAGACCUAAAGACUUUAUUCACAUAGUAAGUGCUUACUGGGUUUGAAGCUGGGCCCUCCCACAUAUAACUCCUAUCCAUAGAGUGACACAGAGACAAGGGCAAAUUAACACCUUGCUCAGAUGAUCCCCAGCAUCCAUUACCCCACACUCCUGGAGAGACACAGGUAUGAAUGCAAUUGAAGCUACACAGAACUCCCUACCCCCCUACACAUGAACACAGAACACAACAGCUGGGCAGGCAGGAAAUGUAAUUCCAGAGUUAGUGGGCAGAAAGGGAUUGAGGGGUUGGCAGUGAUCUGAAGAAACACAGACAACCCAGAGAAGGAUCCCAUCUGGGCAAGGGGCGGGAGAGAUUAGGAAGGGAAAUGCUGCUGGAACAAGGCCUAAUUCCUUAUUCUCUGAGAUCACUCAUCCUAAGGGAAUGGAGAAGGGAAGGUAAAUGGAAGGACCCUUGAUUCUCACCCCUAGUCCAGCACUUGAACCAUUGGAAGAAUUUUCCCAUCCAUGAUCUUAUUCAAUCCUCACAAAAGUUCUGCGAUGCUAAACAGGGCAAUUCCUUGAGCUAAACUUUUCUCAAUUAAAAAAAAAAAAAAGUCCUCAUCUGGAUGAGCGUGUGUUUUCAGAUUUAGUACUGAAAAGUUGAUUAGAAAGCCCAGCUUGUUGCCUGUGAGAAGAUGGUUUGGAAAGUUGUCCAUCCUUUCAAGGCCCUAAGGAGCUAGACUAAAAGUUGCCUUUGUGGAGAAAACCUCCACACUGGGAGUUCUAUUCACAACAAAAUGACUGGCCUGGGACACGUGUGGGGUGUGUGUGUGUGUGUGUGUGUGUGUAUGUUGUGGUUGUUUGAAGGAACUGUCUGUACACCAGAAAAUACAUUUGAAAUGGAUUAUCAUUGUUACCCUAAGGAUUCAUCUUACCUAUCAUUGUUCUCAUUUUACAGACUCAUUUUACAAACUCUUACCUAAAGAAGAGAAGCAUUGAUCGAAGGAAUACUGAAUUCUAGAAGCACAGGAUUGCAGAGCUGGGAAGGAUCUAGAGAUAUCGAUUUCAUCCUCUCCCUGAGCAGGAAUUUGGGGCAAAUGGUUAUCAGCCUGUGCUUGAAGACCAUAUUAGUGAACUACUAGUGAAGGCACUGCUGGCUGAGAUGAUUAAGCCAAACUUCUGAGAUCUCUCUACCAGGAGGCUUUGCAACAUUCAGAGACUUCAGUGCAAUCAGUGUGCCAUCCACCGAAAGGAGAGUCUCUCAGUCUACAGGGAAUCUUCAACUUGGAUUCUGGGCUUUAGUUUGAAUUCAGUGACUGACAUCUUUGCAAGAAUCAAGAUCGCUAUGAUUUAGUUCUCCCUGCAGUCUGUCCACUCUCUGGUCACUGGACAAGAAUCUUACAGUGAGAAGACCAGCAGCCAAGGAGAUCUGCUGUUAAACAUUUCCCGACAUAGUCCUGCGUGUCCAUAUAUUUAUCAAAUGUACAUGUGAUGCAAGUAAGGGGGAGCCCUAUUGGCUGGGAGCACCAGGAGGAGGUAGUGUCCUAGAAGGAAACUGGAGAUGCUGAGCAGCUGUGCAUUCCGGGGGCCGUCUAGUGCCAGGCACGGGGAAGGGCCCGGCCCGUGUGGGGAGCAGCAAGGCCAGAAUGCAGGCAUGAAUGCACUGAAGAUGAGAAAAGAUGAAGGGGGGGAGGGAGGGCCGGGCCAGGCAGAAGGGACAGCAGAAACAAAGGGGGGCACGGGCAGGGGACCAUCACUUCAUCACCACCUGUCCUGUCCCAGAUGCUGCUUUCGGCCCAGAGGAGUGAGAGGGAAAGGGAGCAGAGUAGGGAGAACUUUAAUCUCCAGCCUUGUCUUCCCACCUUCAAGGAGCCCGACUUCCAGAGAUGCCAGAGGCUUGGGGGAACAUUCAACGCUGUCGGUGAGUUUGAGCAGCUGAAGGCAAACCAUCGACCGUUGAGUGGACCCUGCAGCCUUAACCUGCCACCUGACGCCUGCCAGGGAGCCCAGGCCUGUGGCCCGAGCGCUAGAAUCACUGCCGAAGUACAGGGCUCUCCUCUUACACCAUUGGCCGGGUACUGUCUGGUCCCUUGUCUCAACUUUGGCCUUUAAGCCCUCAAAAGUCAUCUGUCUAUGGCAGUCUACACCACCCAGGCUAAGUCUCCAGUCCUGGGCCCCCUUCCCAACCUAGGUCAUACUGCCCACCUAAACCAAAGGUCACAAUCAACAUUCAUUGCUGUCGGUGGGUUGUAAACUGUGAGGAAAAACUCACCGAUGGAUGAAUGUCACUGUGGCUGGGCCAGACCUGGACCUGGAGAGAAGGGUUGGACAUCGCAGGAGGAAGAAGGGGCAGCAACAAACCUCGGCAGAUCCACUGGGUCAAGGAGCCCACAAGGCAAAAUGGCUUCCUGGGCUGGGAGGGAGUCGGGCGGACUCCUAGCCUUGGGCCCACUAUUAACUUACAAUGUUGUGACUUUGGGCAAACAACCUCCCCAGCUUCCUCAAUUGUUAAGUGUGGAGAGAAAUCCUUCCUUGUUCUGCUUCUCUGGUUGGUUGUCAUUAUUUUGUGAGAAAAUGGCUAUGUGAAGGCUUUGAAUGGUGUGAGGAAGGGAAUGUACACACACAAUGCCGCUCCAGCAAUGGGAGAAAGCCUGGGGUUACAACCAGAACCUGAAUUCAGACUAUAACUGUUGCUUUCUAGUCUCUCAGUUAACAAACAUUUAUUAAAGUACAGGGCUAACUGUGGAUACGAAGGAAGGCAAAACCAUGGUCCUAGUCCUCUAGGAACUUGAAUUGUAAUGGGAGGGAUACCAUGCCGACAGUUACAUUAUUAUUAUUAUUAUUUUUUAUUAUUUUUAUUUUUAUAUCUAUGUAAUGGAACUGAUGGGGAAUUUCAUGGGGCUGGGGCUAGGGAUGGAGAGUGAGCCAAAAAGCCACUUGGGAAGGUGGUGUUUGUGACAUGUAGAAGGAAGAAAGGUUAGAGAUGAGGAGGAGAAUUCCAGACUUGGGAAACUAAGGCCCUGGGGAAGUAGGUGAAAUUGUGGGGAGAACCAUGUAGCGUCGACACCAGGAAAAGUAGGUAGGAGCUAGGUAGUGAAUGUUCUCCAUCUGGAUUCUCUUCUGUAUAACGAGGGUCCUUUAUCGUCUGUAGACCUCCAGGGUAUAAUCAUUAAUAAAAAUAAAUAAUGCAAUCUUGUGGGGAUCCCACCCUUCCUGACUUAAUUCCUGACUGUGCUUAUUGAGUCUUUUUUACACCUCUUUUUGCCUCCAGCUGCUUGCUAAUUUAUUUGACACCCUUAAGUGGGGAUAAUUCUCAUCACCAAACAAAAGGAAUUCUGACUGCUUUGUUGGUCCUUAAGUACUCGGAUGGGAAAAUUGGAAGCUGAAGUCCCUGAAGCUGAGAUUAGAACCCUGCUUUCCUGCCUCUCUAGUUCAGGGGUGGGCAAGGAGAGGAGGAAUGCCCUGGGAAAGGCUGGAAUCUUAAGCAAGCUCCCCAGAGACCCUUGGGAAACGCACUCGGGCAGAGGCCUUGCUCCCUGGCAGUGGGCAUAGGGGGGAAGGCUCAGUAGGCAUCGAUCCCACGUAGGACCUGGCUGAGGGAAGAGAUUUUCCAGGCUGCGGGGCCUCCUUUCUUGCUCUGAAGCCUGUGCCCCGGAAAGGAGGAAGGGGAGAGGGGAGAUCCACUUCCUUCUCCUUCUCUGAUCUGUGGCCAUGGUAUCCCAACAGCCCCUCUGGCAGUGGGGUAGGGGGGAAGGGAGUCCUGCAGACCAUCUGAUGCCCCCCUGCAAAGCUAAGGAGAUUCAAUUCCAGGAAGGAAAUGGGAGCUUUGCAGGGGCCAAGCUCGGGUCAGAUACAGUGUAGCCGGGCCAGAGGCUGACCACCG